rnacentral:lncRNA from 1 species
GUUACACGUUUUUCCAGCUCAGCAACAUUAAUACCACGUAGACUCGGUCAAUGGUCAAAGGGGCUUGAAAUAGUGUUUUACUGAGUUUAAAGGUUCAGUUGACAAGUGAUUAAGUAGAAGGGUCCAGAAUACAAACUCAUACAAGUACAAGAGUCCAGCAAACCACUUUAUCUUUCUUUGCGGUAAGAAAACUGCUAAAAUUAGC